AACUUUUGACGGUGGAUCUCUUGGCUCACGCAUCGAUGAAGAACGCAGCCAGCUGCGAUAAGUAGUGUGAAUUGCAGAAUUCAGUGAAUCAUUGAAUCUUUGAACGCAAAUGGCGCUCUUGGGUUCUCCCAGGAGCAUGUCUGUCUGAGUGUCGGAUUGUCAUCCAUC
rnacentral:rRNA from 1 species